rnacentral:rRNA from 1 species
AGAGUUUGAUCAUGGCUCAGGAUGAACGCUGGCGGCGUGCCUAAUACAUGCAAGUCGAGCGAAUGGAUUGAGAGCUUGCUCUCAAGAAGUUAGCGGCGGACGGGUGAGUAACACGUGGGUAACCUGCCCAUAAGACUGGGAUAACUCCGGGAAACCGGGGCUAAUACCGGAUAACAUUUUGAACUGCAUGGUUCGAAAUUGAAAGGCGGCUUCGGCUGUCACUUAUGGAUGGACCCGCGUCGCAUUAGCUAGUUGGUGAGGUAACGGCUCACCAAGGCAACGAUGCGUAGCCGACCUGAGAGGGUGAUCGGCCACACUGGGACUGAGACACGGCCCAGACUCCUACGGGAGGCAGCAGUAGGGAAUCUUCCGCAAUGGACGAAAGUCUGACGGAGCAACGCCGCGUGAGU